CGAGAGUUUGAUCCUGGCUCAGAUUGAACGCUGGCGGCAUGCCUUACACAUGCAAGUCGAACGGCAGCACGGGAGCAAUCCUGGUGGCGAGUGGCGAACGGGUGAGUAAUGCAUCGGAACGUGCCAUUGAGUGGGGGAUAACGUAGCGAAAGUUACGCUAAUACCGCAUAUUCUGUGCGCAGGAAAGCAGGGGAUCGCAAGACCUUGCGCUCUUUGAGCGGCCGAUGUCAGAUUAGCUAGUUGGUGGGGUAAAGGCUCACCAAGGCGACGAUCUGUAGCGGGUCUGAGAGGAUGAUCCGCCACACUGGGACUGAGACACGGCCCAGACUCCUACGGGAGGCAGCAGUGGGGAAUUUUGGACAAUGGGGGCAACCCUGAUCCAGCCAUGCCGCGUGAGUGAAGAAGGCCUUCGGGUUGUAAAGCUCUUUCGGCCGGGAAGAAAUCGCACAGGUUAAUACCCUGUGUGGAUGACGGUACCGGACUAAGAAGCACCGGCUAACUACGUGCCAGCAGCCGCGGUAA
rnacentral:rRNA from 1 species